ensembl:snRNA U1 U1 spliceosomal RNA
ACACUUACCUGGCAGGGGAGACACCAUGACCACGAGGUGGUUUACCCAGGGCGACGCUUGUCCAUUGCACUCCGGGUGUGCUGACCCCUGCGAUUUCCCCAAAUGCGAGGAAACUCGGCUGGACUGCAUACUUUGUGGUAGUGGGGGACUGCAUUCACAUGCUCCCCUG